AUUCUCGCUUUUAGCUUAAAUCCACAUAACAGACACUUCGUGUCGGCUUCGUGCGCAUUUUCGCUAUUAUGUGUUCUUUUAAUUAAAAUGAUUCUUUUUAAAUCUCUAAUAUUUGCUUCGGCAUUUUUGGGGAUUUGUUACUUUGAGUAAAUUAGAGUGUUCAAAGCAAACAGAUAUAGCAUUUGUGCGUUUGAAUACUACAGCAUGGAAUAACAAAAUUGAACAAGUCAAAAUUUUUGUUCUUUUUUCUUAUUUUGGCUUAGUUACGAUUAAUAGGAGUAGCUUGGGGGCAUUUGUAUUCAGAUGUCAGAGGUGAAAUUCUUAGAUUUUCUGGAGACAAACAACUGCGAAAGCAUUUGCCUAAAAUACUUCCAUUAAUCAAGAACGAAAGUUAAGGGAGUGAAGACGAUCAGAUACCGUCGUAAUCUUAACCAUAAACUAUGCCGACUAGGCUUUGGAUGAAAGAUUAUUAAAAUAAGGGG
rnacentral:rRNA from 1 species